UAUUGCACAAUGGGGGGAACCCUGAUGCAGCGACGCCGCGUGGGCGAUGGAGUGCUUCGGCAUGUAGAGCCCUAUCAGCAGGGAAGAAAAUGACGGUACCUGACUAAGAAGCCCCGGCUAAAUACGUGCCAGCAGCCGCGGUAAUACGUAGGGGGCAAGCGUUAUCCGGAUUUACUGGGUGUAAAGGGAGCGUAGGCGGUUUAGCAAGUCAGAAGUGAAAGCCCGGGGCUCAACUCCGGGACUGCCUUUGAAACUGUUGAACUAGAUUGCAGGAGAGGUAAGUGGAAUUCCUAGUGUAGCGGUGAAAUGCGUAGAUAUUAGGAGGAACACCAGUGGCGAAGGCGGCUUACUGGACUGUAAAUGACGCUGAGGCUCGAAAGCGUGGGGAGCAAACAGG
rnacentral:rRNA from 1 species